UGCAAAUUUCUACUUAGGAUUUAAAGAAAAACUUUCGGUUUUAAUGGCAUAGUUUUUAUAAUAUCGACUAAAGGUUUAUUUAACCUAUUCGUUGACUGAUACAAGUAAUGGUUAGUUUUAUUGGAUCAUACUUUAACACUUGUUCAUAAUUAUAUUCAGAUUCAGAUCAAGUACGUCAAGAUGAGUAGUGUGGAAAGGGUUCCUCAAGUGAAUAAUGAUUCAGAAAUGGAAGAAGGAGAAAUAGUAGAUGAAUGGGACGAUCUAUCCGAUAUUUCGUCAGAAGAAGAGUUCUUAUUAAGACAAAGAUUGCUUGUGUUGGAAAAUUACAACAAUGUCCUCGAGAGAAAGGAAGCGAAAAGGGUGUCGUUGGGUAAAAUUGGUAAGAGCACAAACACACUUUUGCCCGAUCUCUCUGAGAUAUCAGCCACUGAAUUAGAAGAUAAUACUACAGAUUAUUUAAAACAUUCUAAAAACUAUAUUUGCUCCAAAGCAAGUUACAGGCGAAAGAAAAUAAAUUUACAUAGUGGCCAUAAAAAAAAUAAGAAAAGAUAUCAUCGUAAAAGAAAAUUGGAACCAAAAAUAAUCAGCGAGUCUAGUGAAGAUUCAGAUGACGAAUAUAGAAAUAAAAGACGGAAAUUAGCUAAUGCUGUGGCUCUUAACAAGGCAAAAGUUGAUACAUCAUUAAAGGCAAGGCUUGAGGAAAUGUUGUUUGGGAAAAAGUCUAAAGAAAAUUGUUUAAAUAUUGAAAAUUUGAAUGUGAAUAAAAAAUUAAUUAAAGAACAAGAUAAUAGCAGAAUAGAUAAUAUUAAAGAAAACACCAGUCCAAACAAUUCUGAAGAGAAGGAAAUUUUGCUUUGUAAUCAGUUGAAUAAUAUUGAAAUUAUAAAUGAAACCUCUGGUGAUUCACAAAAACUAAAACAGGACAAGAAUGGUAUUCAAUUAAAUAAGGAAGGCAAAGACGAGUGUGAUGGUAAAACACAUAGUUUAUAUUCUGGAGAAAGUGAAAAAGUUACCAUGGAAAAUAAUCACACAGACAAUAUGGAAUCGAGUGGUAAAGAAAUUUCAAGUAACAAACAAGAUUCAGAUGAUGAUGUAGAACUACUUAGACAACAUGCUUUGAAAACGAAAAGUACUAAAACAAAAUCACAAUCAGAUACAUCAAAACAUGCUCAAAAUAAGCCUCACUCAGAAGAUGACGAGAGUGAUACUGCUGAUUUAAGACUCAUUUGUCUUAAAUCAGCUUUAUUAAAGAAGGCAAUUGAAAUGAAGAUGAAACAAAAGAUGAGAAAAAGAUUGAAAUCUAAAUCUAAAAGCUUACAAAAUGAUAUUGUGACUCAUGAAGAAGGUAUAGUAAAUGUAACAGACAUAGAGAACAACACGGAUAUAGAGUCUGUGGAUAUGGAUAUUGGCUCUGAUGGUGAUGAUAAGGCAAAAGAAUCAAAUGUGGAUGGUAAUUUAAAUUCAGGGCAAAUAACAAAUGAUGUUAAUAAACAAUCAAAUACAAACAAACCAGAUGAAUUAGAAGAUGAUGAAGAUUUAUUGAGAGCCCAACUAUUAACAUCCUUAACUAAAAACUUGCCAAACCUCGUUGCUAUGGAUGACGUAAAUUCAUUAGAGAGUACUGAAAAAGAAUCAACCACUAUAACCAAAUCUAAAAGUAAUAAGAAUGUUCCAGAAGAAAAGAAAUUUAUCAUAAAUUUGAAAGAUACAGAUUCUGAAGGUGAACAUGAAGCAACAAAAAAUUUAACAAAAAUGCAUAUGAAAUUGUCUGAGCGUCUAGAUUUUCAAGAAAAAUUGGAUCUAUUUCUCAAGUCAACCCGAUUGCAAGUUGAAAAUAAUAUAUUGCCUGAUGUAGUGCAGCAGCCACCGGUUUCAAAGCCACAAGCUAAAUAUGUACCCAAGGCUGUGAAUCAUUUACCCAAAUCUGAACAAAUUGAGUACAAGAAUUUAGUCAAAAGAAUGGCAGAGUUGGAGAAAAUGAAACAAAUCAGACAAGCAUCUAUGAACCAAAAGAAUGACAACAUAUUAAAAGAAACUGUAAACCCAAGAAAUAUAACCGUUGAAGCACAAAAAACAUUCACUGAUAAUCUAGAGCAAAAGAUUGCUAUUUCAAGAAAAAAUAUAGCGGAAGAGUCUGCUAAAAUGCUUAAACUUAAAGAAGAAGCUACUAAGUUACUGCAGAAGUAUAAAAUAGUCGCAACAGAACUACGCAACAUUUCAACUGCAAUCACAAUGAAUAGAAAAGAACAAAGAACCGUUCAAAGCAAAUUAGCAAGGAUACGAAUAAAUCAUCAAAUGUUAUUAAAAAGCUCAAAUUUUAAACAUUCCACUGAAAGAAUUCCACCUACAAAUCAAAUAACUAACAAAGUAGUUGCUAAUAAAUUUCAAAAAGAAAAUAAACCAACAAAAGAGGAAAACAAAAGUACAACACAAAAUAUAACAAAGACUGUUAAUAUUGCUAAUAAUUUAAAAAAAGAAAAUACUGGACCAAUUCCUAAACAAGUUGAUAAUAGUGCUAAUAAUCAGACUGAUAGAAUACCUAAAAUUUUGGACAAAGAAAAAAAAGUUUUAGUUGAAGACAAUUUAGAUGCAAAUAAAAAAAAAAAUGUUCAAUCUCAUACAAGUUGUGAUAAAAAAGACAACGUAAUCCAUCCAGUUUUAGGAAUAAACUGUGAAAAUAUAAGUAUAGAAAAUCCUAGAGAAACUUUAAACGACGAUAAGGAAAAGAGUAAAGACACAAAUGAAUAUCAAUCUCCAUUGAACGCAUUGGGAUCUAAUAUCUGGCAAGAAGAUCCGAAUGCGUUCCUCUGCCCUUACGAAGUCGGCGGCAGUUGCAGGGAUCCCGAUUGCAAAUUCCUACAUCCAAAAAUCCCUUCGAAACAAUGACAUACAUUAGCAAUGUUGCCAUUUUACCGCCUUUACAAUACUCACCUAAAAUGCAAAAUUAAUUUAAUUUAUUCCUUAUUCCCUUAUACCUAGCUGUCGCAACAACAAUGAAGUCUUCAAUAACGUUUGGUGGAGUUCGCGCGGGUUCGCAGCUUCGCCGGCAGUGGUAAGUUGAGUGUAACUUGUAAGAUAGUGACUUAUAGUGAUGGGAUACCAUUUAGUGUUUCACUUAGUACUUGGACCAGGUACGAGCCUACUAUAGUUUAAGUCGGUUAUUUUCUAUUUUAAAUUAAAAAUUGCAUAUUAUGUAAAAAGGUUUAUGAAUA